CCCACGCAGCCUGCUCAUUUGUUUUCGAGUCCGCGUUUGUUUCCUCUCCUGCGCUCUGCUCGUCUUUUUUAGCUUCAUUGGCGCCACCAUCCUCAAAGACCUCAUCCCAGGUUGGACUACUGACAGACUUCAGUUGCUUCCGGGCGAAGCUGACGUGGAACGGCUGAGGAGGAUCGGGAUGAGGAGGGCGGAUCGAGUCCACCGUGAGCGUGUCUAAAUCCGCGGAAGGCGGCGGGGAUCGGGACAGGAGCUCGGCAACGUUGUCCCGGAUGGCGUUUAGGUUCUGGUCUCUUCCCGGGAUGACAGAAGCGGAAGGCCAGGAAUCCCAUUUGGGGAGAUAGAACAUGGCCUGAAGUUCAGCAUCUUCAUCAUCCUGAUUGAUUAGCACCUCCUCAGCCUUAGUUUACAAAAGCCUGACCCAGAUCCAGCUUCCUGGAUUUAUGUAACGCUUCGGAGGAUUGCAUAACCACAAGCGAGGAGGCCCGUCUGCCUGAACGACCUGCGUCUCCUCAUCACAAAGAAGAGCGCGACAGCGGGUUGAGGAAAGCAGCGUGCGCUAUUUGCUUCUUGGCCCGGGCCAGACAGAAAAUGACUGGAAAAACAACUUCUGGAAGCUUUCAAAGAGCGAGGCAGCAAAGUGUGUCAGCGGGAUUUAAAGUGGGCAAAUCAGAAAAGUUGGAACAUUUUGGACACGCAAUAGUGUUUCUGGAGCAAAAGGUCAGAAGGCCUUGCAAACUCCAGCUGUGGAAGUAAGCCACGGUUAUCUUUGCUGGGGAUAUUUUUUAUUAAUCACAGUUAAACACAAAGCAAAAUAGAAUAAAUAUUCAGGAAAUGAUCAUUUCCUUUAAAUGAAAA